rnacentral:rRNA from 1 species
UACAGAGGUCUCAAGCGUUGUUCGGAUUCAUUGGGCGUAAAGGGUGCGUAGGCGGCGCGGUAAGUCGGGUGUGAAAUCUCGGAGCUUAACUCCGAAACUGCAUUCGAUACUGCCGUGCUUGAGGACUGGAGAGGAGACUGGAAUUCACGGUGUAGCAGUGAAAUGCGUAGAGAUCGUGAGGAAGACCAGUGGCGAAGGCGGGUCUCUGGACAGUUCCUGACGCUGAGGCGCGAAGGCCAGAGGAGCAAAACGGG